rnacentral:sRNA from 1 species
UCGUAACAAGGUUUCCGUAGGUGAACCUGCGGAAGGAUCAUUAAUGAAUGCAAAUUCAUACCCUGUGAACCGUCGUCUUCGGACGCUUUAUAAACUCUAGUGUUGUCAAUGUAUGUCUAUCUUAUAAAUUAUAACUUUCAGCAACGGAUCUCUUGGCUCUCGCAUCGAUGAAGAACGCAGCGAAAUGCGAUAAGUAAUGUGAAUUGCAGAAUUCAGUGAAUCAUCGAAUCUUUGAACGCACCUUGCGCUCUCUGGUAUUCCGGAGAGCAUGCCUGUUUGAGCGCCUUAAUAAUCUGCGGUCUCCGCGAUUUGAGUACUGCCUCUGGCUUACUCUGAAUGCAUUAGCAGCUGAAGCUGGACUUGACGUUAUAAGAUUUCGUUAAGAAAAGUGAAGGCCGCUUCCAAUCGUCCUCGGACAACACCAAUGCUAGGCAUCAAAUCAGGUAGGACUACCCGCUGAACUUAAGCAUAUCAAUA